rnacentral:pre_miRNA from 1 species
GAGAUACUCCCUCCGUUCAAAAUUACUUGUCUCGGAAAUGGAUGUAUCUAGAACUAAAAUACAUCUAGAUACAUCCAUUUCUACGACAAGUAAUUCCGAACGGAGGGAGUACAUG